rnacentral:rRNA from 1 species
GACGAACGCUGGCGGCGUGCUUAACACAUGCAAGUCGAACGGAAAGGCCCCUUUGGGGGUCCUCGAGUGGCGAACGGGUGAGUAACACGUGAGUAACCUGCCCUUGACUUCGGGAUAACUUCAGGAAACUGGGGCUAAUACCGGAUAGGAAUCCUUGCUGCAUGGUGGGGGUUGGAAAGCUUCUGCGGUUUUGGAUGGACUCGCGGCUUAUCAGCUUGUUGGUGGGGUAGUGGCUUACCAAGGCUUUGACGGGUAGCCGGCCUGAGAGGGCGACCGGCCACAUUGGGACUGAGAUACGGCCCAGACUCCUACGGGAGGCAGCAGUGGGGAAUAUUGCACAAUGGGCGGAAGCCUGAUGCAGCAACGCCGCGGGCGGGAUGACGGCCUUCGGGUUGUAAACCGCUUUCAGCAGGGGCGAAGCUUGUGGUGACGGUACCUGCAGAAGAAGCACCGGCUAACUACGUG